UCCUCCCCCUUUGGCAGUUCUAUCUUGACGGAAGAUAUUAUAGUUGGGUAUGGAAAUCUCUGAAUUUUUGGUGGCCUUCCUGAGCCAGGAUUCAGACACGGCAAGGACAUCAGGGUUAGCAGAGUGUGCUAAAGCAGUAAGUAAAACAAACUUAGGGAGAAGGCUUCUGAUGUUGACAUGCAUGAAACCAAGGCUUUUUCGAUCACAGAAGUCAACAAAUGAGGAUGCCUGGGGACAAUCAGGGCCUGGGUUUACCUCCACAUCACCCGCGGAACAGAGAAGGAGUAGUAUGAGGGUGCGGCUAAAGGCUAUCAAAACUGGUCGCCUAGAGCGUUGGGGACAGAGAAUAAGAGGAGCAGGUAUCUGGGCAUGGUAGAAUAUAUUCAGGGCAUAAUGUGCAGACAGGGGUAUGGUGGGGUGCGGGUACGGCGGAGGUAAGCCCAGGCACUGGGUGAUGAUGAGAGAGGUUUUAUCUCUGGACAUGCUGGUUGUAAUGGGUGAGGUCACCGCAUAUGUGGGAGGUGGAACAAAGGAGGUAUCAGGGGUAUGAGGAGUGGGACAAGGGGCUCCAUUGUGAACUAAAACAAUGAUAACUAACCUGAGCAACAGUAUACAAGGCAUAUUGACAAUUGAGAGAGACAUACAGCGAGGCAUACAGUAAUCACAGGUGUUGAACUGGGAAAGCUAGCUAAAACAGUGGGUGAGACAACAGCUAAUCAGCUAGCAUAACAACAGCAGGUAAAAUGGCAUUGACUAGGCAACAGGGCCGACAGAUAAAACAAACAAGCAGAAUGGAGUACCGUGAUUAAUGGACAGUCCAGCGUGCAUCAGCUAUGUAGCCAAGUGAUCAGAGUCCAGGGGGCAGGGGGGCUGGACUGGCGAGUGUUAUCCAGGUUAAAAAACUAACAAUGACUAAAUAGCUUGUAGCUGGUUAGCUUCUGGAGGUUCUUGAGUGUGUUCUAAAAAUUAAAAAUAAUAGCGAUUCCGUACCACAUUGGGUGAGGCAGGUUUCCGGAAGGUAUAAACAAAUUUUAAAAAAUCGGGAAGAGAUAGAAAGUACAUAUGGGCCACUGCGUGUUUGGGACGCGGCGAUGCAGACGGUUAGCAGGCCUGUGCUAACAAGCUAACAGAUUAGCAGGCCUGUGCUAACAAGCUAACAGAUUAGCAGGCCGGGGUAAACAAGGUAGUAGUUAGCGGACCUGGGCUAAACAAGCUAGCAGUUAGCAUGCCGAAUUAGCAAGCAAGGAGAUAGCGAGGGCUAGAGAGUUAGCCUUUGGAGGACGUCACGAUGAGGUGAGUCUGUUUAUUCCUCUUCAUGCAGUGACAUCGAUAGACCGGUCGUGGGUCCGGGUAUUGUAGCCCAGGAGUAUGCUAUGAGCACAGGAGCUCUGGCCGGGCUAGCUUCAAGCUACGUGGGUGGAAACGCUGACCAGGAGUAAUCAACCAGGGUUGCGGUUUAGCUCGAUAGCUAGUUGUGAAAAUCCAGCUGAAAGAUGUUCCGUUUGCGGUGGGAAUCCGGGGUAAAAAAAAAAAAAUAGGUCCGUUAUGCUCUGGUUAGCGUCGCGUUGUUCGAACUGGCGAGAGCUUUCCGAGCUAAGGGUUAGCUGAAGACCGCUAGCAUAGCAGGUGGUUAGCUGGCUAGCUUCAGUUGAGGGGUUCUGAAGUAAAUAUAAAUACUUUAGGAAAAGUAGCUACAUUGGGUGAGGCGGGUUGCAGAAGAGUAUUUGGAAGCGAGCGAAAAUGUUUUUAAAGAUAUGCGAAGAAAAAAAUCUUUAAAAAAAAAAAUAUCUAAAAAAAAAAUAUCUAAAACGAAAAAGAGACGAUAUUUACAGAGAGACGAUACGACAGGACGACUUACUGCUACGCCAUCUUGGACAGUACGCUUCCUGAGGCAGGUGCCUUAGGAGAGCAGUCAUUGAGAUCCAGUAUAAAUAUUCUAUUGGCAGUGUUGUUUUUUUUGGACGCAUGAAUCACAAUAUGAGUCAUGUGUCCAAAGGGGGAAUUACCAAUCCCCUGGGACCCUUUGGUAAAUAUGCAUAUUGUUUUGUUCACAUGCCUGCCUAUAUAACAAAUGUGUCUUGCUGUUGUUGUUUUCUUUGCUUUUGUUGUGCUUCAAUAACAAAUCUCACCAGAUUGGGUCUGCUGGUUGGUCGGGAUUUCUCCCUAAGGAUUAGCCCACUAACUCCCUAACCCUGUAACUCUGCGGUUCUGGCGAAUGUGACCACAGAUGGUAUCUAAAUACAUGGAAAGGAUAAUUUGACCGAGAACAGUGGGAACCUCACCCCCUCUAACUAGCUGAAGUAAUGGCGACAAUGGCAUUCACUAUGGUCCUUCACCAUUUUACGUGACACCUGAGUCCGAGCCAGCAACUUGUACACAGCAUCCAGUCAAAGCUAUCAACUGCCUUUUCUCUCAGGAGUGUGACAUGAGUCCACGUGGAGUGAGCAUGGAGAGAGAUCCCGUCCAAAUUUCUCUCAUGCUGCUGGUGUACAGGUAGGAAAAUGAACAAUACAUAAUGAUCCAUAAAGGACAGAGGUGGCUCAGGUGAGAAAAAUCGGGACAUUAUUAAGGGGCCAUCCACUUUGAACAUGUGCCAUUGGAGGGUGAACUGUAAAGCUCCAGAAACUGAAGAAACGCCACAAGGCUGAGUGCCGUGAAGGAGGGGGGUGGUCAACCGUGACUGUAAUUGAUUUAGGCUUGUCCAAAAUUGUUUAUUUGGGGUCCCAGGUUGAUGAUGGUCUGCACACUGCAAAUAUUUAAAGUAAUUUAGACUAAGAAUGCGCUGAGAUACCAAUCUGUCAUUACCACAAUGAUGGUUAUUGAUGAGAGUACUGACAAUACCGAUGUAGCACAGUUGUGUGUGUAUAUGUCUGUUAUUUUCAUGGAAAUUACUUUAAAGAAGAGCUACUGGCACUGAUUCCCCUCGAAGGACACACUACCGGGGACAUCCUAUUCACAAAGCUGGAAGAAUUGUUUACGCAGCAUGGACUGUCAUUUGAAAGUCUACUUUGUGGUCUCCGACGGGGCUUCUGCUAUGGUGGGCAGACACAGGGGCCUGGUCAGCAGGUUGAAGGAAAUCGCCCCACAAAUGAAUGGCUUGCAUUGUCUCAUCCAUCAGACUGUGCUGUGUGUCAGACUAAACGGUGAGCUAAAGGAUGUGAUGGAUAAAGUAAUGAACAUAAUCAACUUUGUCAGGGGGACAUCAAGUACACACCAUCUUUUCUGCAAGCUUGUGACAGAAUCAGAGGAGGCCACCCACUAUGAUCUCCUGCUUCACAACAACGUGCGCUAGCUGAGUAAAGUAAAAGCUCUAGAGCAAUUCUGUAAGCUGUAUGACCAGGUUGUGGAUUUUGUCAGAAAAAGCUAAAUGAGGGCAGCAACGGACCACAUUAGUAUUCUGGAAAUUGAGGGAUUCCUCUCUAAUGUAGCUGUUUUGGCUGACCUAUUAUGUCACUUAAAUGGGUUAAAUCUGUAUUUACAAGGAAGAGGGAAAACAAUUGUGGACAUGGUGAAAAAACUUCCAAACAACGAGCCAAAUCAGGGAUGCAUUCAGGAGUGCUGAGUCGUUGUGUGCAUUUUGGGUGGCAUGCUCAGAGGAAUACAGCACAAUAAAGAAACUUGCAUUAUGUGCUAACAAUUUUUGGAUCGACUUACACCUGCGCGUCCUAAUUUUCCUCUGAACGCAGUAAAGACUCAUGACAGGAACCGGCUUUCACAUAAGUCAAUCGAGGACUGCCUGCGCAUCAAAAUCACAACCCUCUCACUCGACAUCCACAAGAUCGUGUCCGAGGGGAAAUACAACUUUUCCCAUUAAGAGCAGGUUAUCCCAAGACUCCCGAUACAGACAUUGACUUAUUUUCUUUAAAUUAUUGUUUUAUGUAGGAUGUUACCUUGUUGGCCAGUUGCAAUUGUAAGUAGGCCAAAUGCAUUUAAAAAAAAUCCUAUUUCUAUUAGGCCAUUUUUCUUCUUGUGAAAGAUGCUGUUAAGCCUCAUAACUUAACUCGCUGAGAUAGGCUAUUUUAUAUGGGCCUUGGCUCUGAAUAAAUAAGACUACAAUUAAGCCCUCUUGUUGUUUGUAAAGUCAAAUUAAAAUAAAGAUUAUUGUUGAAAUGAA